AACAAAAAAAACCUAGCUUAACCAUUGAACAUGAAAAGAUGAUCAUAAGUACAUAAACCAUAUAUAUGAGUGAGUGAGAGAGAGAGCUCCAGGAGUCCCUGAAACCAAUUCCAUUUUUUUUUUCCACCUACCCAAAAAUAAAGACAAAAAACAAAAAGAUGGAACAACUAUUAAUCUUGGAUAAACUAGCAAUGAUGUUGUAGAAAAUCC